GUGGGGAAUAUUGGACAAUGGGCGCAAGCCUGAUCCAGCCAUGCCGCGUGAGUGAUGAAGGCCUUAGGGUUGUAAAGCUCUUUCAGUGGGGACGAUAAUGACGGUACCCACAGAAGAAGCCCCGGCUAACUUCGUGCCAGCAGCCGCGGUAAUACGAAGGGGGCUAGCGUUGUUCGGAUUUACUGGGCGUAAAGCGCACGUAGGCGGAUCGUUAAGUCGGGGGUGAAAUCCUGUAGCUCAACUCCAGAACUGCCUUCGAUACUGGCGAUCUUGAGUCCGGAAGAGGUGAGUGGAACUCCUAGUGUAGAGGUGGAAUUCGUAGAUAUUAGGAAGAACACCAGUGGCGAAGGCGGCUCACUGGUCCGGUACUGACGCUGAGGUGCGAAAGCGUGGGGAGCAAACAGGAUUAGAAACCCGGGUAGUCC
rnacentral:rRNA from 1 species